rfam:Candidate division WOR_3 bacterium SM23_60 WORSMTZ_36016, whole genome shotgun sequence.
ACGAGUUGUUGCGCCAGCAGCAGUGCUCGGUAGCUAUGUCCGGAAGGGAUAACCGCUGAAAGCAUCUAAGUGGGAAGCCCCCCCUGAGAUAAGGUCUCCCGUUCCUUUCCACUUCGGUGGAAAAGACCACAAGACUACCUGGAGAUGACAGGUUUGAUAGGCCACCGGUGUACGUGCAGUAAUGCAUUGAGCCAAGUGGUACUAAUCAGUCGAGCGACUUGGAUUU